UCGAGCGGCGGACGGGUGAGUAAUGCAUAGGAAUCUGCCCGGUAGUGGGGGAUAACCUGGGGAAACUCAGGCUAAUACCGCAUACGUCCUACGGGAGAAAGCAGGGGCUCUUCGGACCUUGCGCUAUCGGAUGAGCCUAUGUCGGAUUAGCUGGUUGGUGAGGUAACGGCUCACCAAGGCGACGAUCCGUAGCUGGUCUGAGAGGAUGAUCAGCCACAUCGGGACUGAGACACGGCCCGAACUCCUACGGGAGGCAGCAGUGGGGAAUAUUGGACAAUGGGCGCAAGCCUGAUCCAGCCAUGCCGCGUGUGUGAAGAAGGCCCUCGGGUUGUAAAGCACUUUCAGUGGGGAAGAAAUCCUCGGGGCUAAUACCCUCGAGGGAGGACAUCACCCACAGAAGAAGCACSGGCUAACUCCGUGCCAGCAGCCGCGGUAAUACGGAGGGUGCGAGCGUUAAUCGGAAUUACUGGGCGUAAAGCGCGCGUAGGCGGCGUGAUAAGCCGGUUGUGAAAGCCCCGGGCUCAACCUGGGAACGGCAUCCGGAACUGUCAGGCUAGAGUGCAGGAGAGGAAGGUAGAAUUCCCGGUGUAGCGGUGAAAUGCGUAGAGAUCGGGAGGAAUACCAGUGGCGAAGGCGGCCUUCUGGACUGACACUGACGCUGAGGUGCGAAAGCGUGGGUAGCAAACAGGAUUAGAUACCCUGGUAGUCCACGCCGUAACGAUGUCGACUAGCCGUUGGGGUCCUUGAGACCUUUGUGGCGCAGUUAACGCGAUAAGUCGACCGCCUGGGGAGUACGGCCGCAAGGUUAAAACUCAAAUGAAUUGACGGGGGCCCGCACAAGCGGUGGAGCAUGUGGUUUAAUUCGAUGCAACGCGAAGAACCUUACCUACUCUUGACAUCGUGCGAACUUUCCAGAGAUGGAUUGGUGCCUUCGGGAACGCACAGACAGGUGCUGCAUGGCCGUCGUCAGCUCGUGUUGUGAAAUGUUGGGUUAAGUCCCGUAACGAGCGCAACCCUUGUCCCUAUUUGCCAGCGAUUCGGUCGGGAACUCUAGGGAGACUGCCGGUGACAAACCGGAGGAAGGUGGGGACGACGUCAGGUCAUCAUGGCCCUUACGAGUAGGGCUACACACGUGCUACAAUGGCCGGUACAAAGGGUUGCGAAGCCGCGAGGUGGAGCCAAUCCCGAAAAGCCGGUCUCAGUCCGGAUCGGAGUCUGCAACUCGACUCCGUGAAGUCGGAAUCGCUAGUAAUCGUGAAUCAGAAUGUCACGGUGAAUACGUUCCCGGGCCUUGUACACACCGCCCGUCACACCAUGGGAGUGGACUGC
rnacentral:rRNA from 1 species